rnacentral:rRNA from 1 species
GUGAGGAAUAUUGCACAAUGGGCGAAAGCCUGAUGCAGCAACGCAGCGUGAGUGAUGAAGGCCUUUGGGUCGUAAAACUCUGUCCUUGGGGAAGAAAAAAAUGACGGUACCCUUGGAGGAAGCCCCGGCUAACUACGUGCCAGCAGCCGCGGUAAUACGUAGGGGGCAAGCGUUAUCCGGAAUUAUUGGGCGUAAAGAGUGCGUAGGUGGUUUUGUAAGCGUAGGGUGAAAGGCAGUAGCUCAACUAUUGUUAGCCCUGCGAACUGUGAGACUUGAGUGCAGGAGAGGAAAGUGGAAUUCCUAGUGUAGCGGUGAAAUGCGUAGAUAUUAGGAGGAACACCAGUGGCGAAGGCGACUUUCUGGACUGUAACUGACACUGAGGCACGAAAGCGUGGGUAGCAAACAGGAUUAGAAACCCUGGUAGUCC